GGUAUUAUACUUUAUUUAUAUAGAAGACAUGAUUUGCAAUCAUAAAGAAAGAAAACUCUUUAAUACCA
rnacentral:tRNA from 1 species